AGCAGCCGCGGUAAUUCCAGCUCCAAUAGCGUAUAUUAAAGUUGUUGCAGUUAAAAAGCUCGUAGUUGAACUUCGGGGUUUACUCAUUGGUCAGGCUUAAUUGUCUGUACUGGUGAGAUGAAUCUCUACCUUCUGAGGAACUUUCAUGCCAUUUAUUUGGUGUGAUUGGAAAUCAGGACUGUUACUUUGAAAAAUUAGAGUGUUUAAAGCAGGCUAACGUCUGAAUACAUUAGCAUGGAAUAAUGAAAUAGGACGGAUUGAUUCUAUUUCGUUGGUUUCUAGGGUCACCGUAAUGAUUAAUAGGGAUAGUUGGGGGCAUUAGUAUUCAAUUGUCAGAGGUGAAAUUCUUGGAUUUAUUGAAGACUAACUACUGCGAAAGCAUUUGCCAAGGAUGUUUUCAUUAAUCAAGAACGAAAGUUAGGGGAUCGAAGACGAUCAGAUACCGUCGUAGUCUUAACCAU
rnacentral:misc_RNA from 1 species